CCAGGAUAUUGAUGUUAUACUACAGUUAAUUAGAGGGAUUACUUCUCGCGAGUCUGAUGUACAUUCAUACAAGUUAAACUUUGUUUAUAAACAGAAACAAAAUGAUUCACUUAAAAAUAUUGGCUUCCUAACUGGAAUCAAUAGAAAGGGAACGAUGUUUUGGUUACUCGCCGUUAGAGAUUUUUCGAAAGAUGAAAUUCAAGGCUAAUACUUCGUUGAAAUUUUCGUGAUUGGAUCCGUGAGUGAAUUUUUCAAAACUUUUAAGUGAAUUAUUUAAAUAACUAUGAUUAUGACUGUAUAUCAAAUAAUAUUAUCUUAUUAUAAAAGUGUUGUGAAUUAUUAUUCAAUAAAAACUCGAAAGACAACAAGAGACAAGAAAAGAAGACAAGUUUACAAGCAUCUUCAGGAAUUACUGACCCGUACCUUAAAUCCGUUUAACAAGCGGAGUGCUGAUUUACCUGGAGGAUUUCUGACGGAUAUUGCAACCUUCCCGAUUGUCUGGUGGAUGGAGUCUCUUGUUAGUGGUGAUGCAACUGGUUUUUGUCACUGUAGAUGAUGGAGGAAACACGAGAAGAAUCGGAAAGAAUGAAACAGCCAGCGAAGAAAAAUUUGCAGAGAUUACGUAGCGAUAAAAAUCGAAAUAUCUGUCCGAUAUUAAAUUUUAUUUGCAAUUAUCAAUCAGUGUUUAAUUAACGGUCCAUACAUUUACAAUUUGAUAUAUAGAUCGAAUGUUUGUGAUAAGAGAGAAUUUACAGUCGCAAGCAAAUUCACUCGAUUCGAAAAUCAUGAUUUUAAUUGAAAAUGUCUAUGUGUAACGUAAAGCAUAAUGCAAUAACAUUUUUUUUUUCGAAAUGGGAGAUCUCUUUGCAUAAAAUUAACUUUCAAGUUUUUCGUGAUUUAUUUUUUUCGUCUUCCGAGCUAAUAUUUUU